CUCAUUGUGAUCCCUGGAUCCUGUGUAGCUGAAGAGGACCAUAGCUGCACAACCUCCCUCCUCAUUCUCUCCCCCCCUUUUUCCCAACACCCUCGAUAUUCUCUCCCAAGCUGCACUACAUUUGGGAGAAACUACAUUCAAUAUUUGUUUGGCUCCAGGUUCCAGACCAAGGAGUCUGGCUAAACAGGUAAGUGGCAGCAGCACAGAGCAUAUGCAGAGAAUCAGCAGAAAAGAAGACGAGGAGCUACAGGGGCAUUUCCAAAUUCACAGAUCUUCACUCCUCAAGUGCUCUGAUCACCUUGGGCUGGUGCAGAAUAAAUUACAAUGUACAGUUUUUCUUGAUUACGUCUUCGUUAAGCUUGAGUUCUCCUUUAAGAUUCAUAUACAGUAGAUAGUUCACUGGUCCAACCUGUAAGAUAAUAAAGUAUCUACCACUCCCAUGCCUGUGUUGUACAAAUGAAUGCACCAAAUCACCUUGCAUACCCUAUUCAUGCAUGCACCUUGCAUGCUCUGAGUAGCUGUUGAGAAUCUAAGCUUUGGGGUCAUCGCAAAUUAUCGAGCAGAAAAUGAGGUUGGCCUGUAAUAUAAGCAGAUGCUACAGGGCUGAUUACUUAAUUCUUAUGCUAAUUGUAUGGGUGUCUGUGUUGUUAUUAUCUUUAUUACUAAUCAGCUUUAUAUUGUGACAUUUCUAUUCUAUGUGUAUUGUAUAUUUUGAGUUGCUUUCUAAGCUCAG